rnacentral:lncRNA from 1 species
AUAAUUCAAUAUGUUUUGUCUGACAUUUUAUAUUUCGGUUCUGGUAACUUAUUGUUGAUAGGGACAGAAACCCACAGGUUUGAUAUGACUAUACGAUGUAUCAUCGUCUAUCUCCUUUUGAUGCAUCUCUCUUUCUCUCCUUCAAAUUCUUUUCUCUGUUUCUCCCCCUUUCUAUACAAACUAGAAAAAAUGAGAUAUGGAGGAGAGGAAAGACACAUCACGUUCAAUCGAACCCCUGUCCCUCACAAAAGUAUACUCAUCAAGAUGGACUGCAUUUCAUUUUUUUGUAAAUACAUGUUUUUGUGUUUAUAAAAUAUAUAAUGUAAACAAAACAUUUACCAUAAAUUAACUAUUUCUAAUACCUCUCACCUUUAUUCACAC